CUCGUCAUUAGCUCCUCUUACCCCGGUCAUCCGAGUGGACUCACAGCGGAGACAAUGCAGGUAACGAUACACGUUAAGCUGAAGUAUUGAGCCAAACCAAAGGGACACCAGUGUGCGCGGCGCGUCUGCAUGCGGUCAAGACAUGACUUUUGAUUCUUUAUUUAGUCGUUAACCGUGUCGUGCAUGUACUUGCGAGCAAUAUCCGCUAACUGCUAAAGUAGCUAACGCAACCGCGGACUCGUUGUAUCGCAGGUAUGUAGUCAUUGGGUUCGAUGCAUCCUCGUAAGGCUGGAGCCUAUAAAGGACGCAUUUACCAAGUAACGUUACAGCGUUAACGUGGGACCGUUCUGGCCGAGCACGCUCGUGCUCCACCGACUAAUGCCGGACAUCUGUUCUUAAAUGGUCUGAUUAGACAGAAUAUUAACUUUACUGUGGCCCUAAUAAGCACAGUGGCUUUGUGCGGAUUUGAGAAGUCUUCCUGGCACUUGGCUGUUUUUUGGCGCGCACCACGUGUCGUAUCGGGCCUCGCACGCCGCGGUGCAGACUCGUCUGCGGGGUUGUCCUGUGCAGUGGGCUGAUCCCCGACCAGCUGUGGCUAUAGAACGACAGGUUUUGCUUUCACCUCUGCACUGCUCGUUGCUGAACUGUGACAAUGAGGCCUGGCACAUGUCCCACUGUAUACGACUGAUCUAAACGCGUGUCUCUGCAGGAUGUCCGCAUACAGCUGCCGGCUGUGCUGCGACCCGAGGUGAGCAUCACGUGCUUUCUUAUAGGGGGGAUUUUUCACAUUUAGAAUUAGCUACGUUAUGUUGUAGAUUGUUUUACGCUUUAAUUCAAUAAAGCUCUUCCUCAACGGGAGCAGCAGCUUGUAACCAGAACUGCGUCGUGCGCCCGGUGAGAGCUCUGGUUCUGUCUGGUGGGCCGUGGAGCUCACACAGUGCGCAGAGAGAUUCGUUCCCUUGCAACCCACUGCUGUGCCCUCUGCAGCAGUGUUACUUAUGGGAAUGGACAGCUGUUCGCUUACAAAUAGUUAUGUUCCCGAGUGCCGGUGAAUACACUGAUUUAUGAACGUGCAGUCAAGACUUUUCUGAGAUCCUCUAAUGGCAGAAGGCUUCUUCUACCAGGUGAUCUCUUCUAGGCUGCGGAUGAUAAACUCAUCAAUAAGAUGCUAAAAUGUAGCAGUUGGGCUAACUCAACUUUUGUGUGUUUGUUCACUGAGAGAAUAAAGUUUUAUCACAAAUCAUGUCAACAAUAUGAUUUUCAAAUUUGCAUUAAAUGUUAAAGCAUCUCUGCUUAUGGCAAACUUAUUUUAAUUUAGGCGAAUUAUGCAAAUAUUUAGUUUGUUUCCAGCUUUGAAUAGUUCCAGAAUUUCGCAAUGCUACCUGACUGUAAAUGAGGAACCAGGAUUGUUUAAAAGGCCGUCCAUUGUCUCUAAUGGACUCAAUGUUCUGCUGAACCACUCAAGUUUUCCAGAGCAGAUUGUUUUGAAUGACACCUUCUGGAUGGGGUUCAGAUGUUCAAUUAUGACUUUUCGGAUUAAUUUAUUCCAUGUGGCUUUUAGCCUGUCAGUGUUUUGGGUUUCAAAUGAGUUUCUUCACUGGGGAUUGAAGUUUGUCUGUUCUUCUCUCUCAGGGAUUGUGGACCUGAGGCCGGCUCGGUAAGUUGAAUAUUCUGCGAGACAACCUCUUUGUGUCAUGAUGAUCGGCUAAAUGUUCAACUGCUCUGAAGUGUGAUUGACAUCUGCCUCUCUGAACCGCAUGCUUGCGUACUGAUGAGUAUGUGGGUUCCUCUAGAACAUGUGGUCACCUCCCUCCUCCUUUUUGCAGGUUUCCUCCCCGCACUGGUCUUCUGACUGAUUGCUGUCAUGUAAGUUCUGAGGCUGUGCGUUCUCACUUAUUUCCAUAAAGCCAACCUGCUUAGUGGGUGAGCGACCAACAGGAUGGCAAACCAGACGCAUUACGUGGUGUCUUCAACUGGCCACAAUAAAUAGUGACAUUUCUAAUGGCUGCGAAUUGACCAGAAUACAACCAAAGCACUGUGUGGUAUCUGCAGCCAGUUGGUUCCUCAGCCGGUUUGUUCAAAAGUCAGUGCUAGAACAACUCAGCGUCUGGCAUCGUUGGUCUCCAUGCUGCCUGUGUGUGGAGUCCUGGUAUGGUUGUUGAGACACUACUUAACUAGUCAAUGUAUCAACUUAAGUGACUCAUUUUAUUGUGUUGACUUUAAAAGUGUUGUCUUUGUAGAAAUGCAGCUUGUUGUGCCAUUCAGUUGCACAACAAAGAUGUCCUUGUGUGUGGCGGAUUAAAACUUGUCUAAUGGACCAUUGUUUUGUCUUGUCCCAGGUUCCUGCUGCAUGAAGGCUUGCAUCCAUGUACCGUACCAGGUAUUCAGGCACUCAGGUUGGUUGAAGCACUUGGCCGAUGGUGGAGCUGAGGUCUAUCCCGACGGGCCUUUCACUGUAGGGCCGUGUCGUUGGAAAUGCCUCACACCGUAACUCUGUAGUUUCGCUUUACCCACAUGUUCACUGCCAUGAGCAUAGUGCGAUAUAACUGCAGAACACCGCGGCGUCUUGUGUAGUUGACGGGCUACAUUUCCUUGCAGGUCUAAAGUCUGGGAAUAUUGUCUGAGUUAAAGAUGGGUGAUUUGGCUGAAAUUCCAAACUUUUUCCAGAAUUGUGGAAGCUUCCUGGAGUCGUGGCGUGAACAGUACCAGCAGCCUCUUGCAGUUGAUGGUGACGUGACAUCGAAGCUGCCACCACUUUGUUGCGUAGAGGUCAUUUGAAGUCAGUCUAUUAAUAAAUGCAAAUUAAAGACUCAGAACUCUUGUCUCUGUUCUAUAUGAAAUGUGUUAUUUCCCACGUAUUAAAUCACUCGAGAGCUUUCGGCACUGUCGUUAAGUGUUUUUCUUUCUUUUCUUAAGCAUCUGAAAAGUGGUGCCUUAAAGCCAACCAACGUUUCAAACGUGUUGGGUAAAGGUCAUGAGCAGCUGCUGUAGUGGCGCAGUGCCUCCUUUAGUGGGCAGUGUACCGAUUCUUGCAGGAGGACCACAGCAUGUCUGCAAUAAAGAGGACACAUCGAUGUAGCCUUUGCAGGCCAAUAAAGUUUUUAAAGGUUAUUUUUCAAACUAAAACAUUAAGUUGACUCCGGUUUCUAGUUGGUAUCUGAUGGGAUUGUAAAUACAACUGUUAAUUUAGUUUAAAAAGAAUGCCACCUCAAGGCCAGAGCUGCAGUCAUCAGUCUAAUGGAUCAACAAAAUAUCCCAACCCACUUGUUUUUGUCCUCACAGGAUGUGCUCUGCUUCAGGGAAUGUGAUUACCUGUAGUAUUACGGUGGGAGGUGCAGCUUUCUAAGCAUUGGCAUUGAGAGUUCAGUCUACAUUCAGAACGUGGUCGACUCGUGCCUGCUCACCCGGCAUCGCCUUGUUGGAACCAAAAGAUUUAUUUCACAAUAAAUCCAAAAAACGAUCCUGUUCAAACGCACAAGUAUGCCACCACGGAACUACCAGCACAUGGUGGUCCACCACCUAAACACCUCAAGGUCCGCGCCUUCAAUUUCAAGCUCUUCCUGGCUUCCCCCAGUCUUUAAUCCACCGUGGCUCCAAUCUCAUUGCUUCCAGGCUGGUUUCACCUGGUACUUCCAGUCAGGAUACAGGGGAGCAAUUAGGGGUUAGGUGUUUUGCUCAAGGACACUUGGGACAUGGAGCAGCUGGGACUCAAACCGCCAACCUUGUGGUUCCCAGCUCCCCCUCUACCCCAUGCGGCAGUCAAUUGGUAUCUGAAAGUAUCACUAGAUAUCAUUAACUUUUGACGAAUAAUGCAAUUAAUACUAAAAUGGUUAUUGGUACUUCUCUUAAAUUCUAAAGGUAAUUUAAUGUUAACAGCCAGUUGGAGCUGGAAAGGAAUCUCUUUGACGACUCCAGACAGCUGUCUUCUGCCAAAUUGGACUUCUGCACCUACCAGACACGGCUUAGAAGUUGCAAGGACUCCUCAAAGGAAGCCGCACCUAACCUGGACCACGUGUUGAACGAUCGACAAGCAUAAAGCUAUGCUAAUAUUUGCUAGAGCUAGAGGGACAAGCGAGUGUGAUUAAGGCUGGCUAACAUUAGCUUAGCGUUAGG
ensembl:lncRNA